rnacentral:rRNA from 1 species
AGUACGUCCAGCUCCGACACGUCGGAGUGUUUCUUCCUGUAUAAAAGCAGUUUACAACCCGUAGGGCUUUCAUCCUGCACGCGGCAUGGCUGGAUCAGACUUUCGUCCAUUGUCCAAUAUUCCUUACUGCUGCCUCCCGUAGGAGUCUGGUCCGUGUCUCAGUACCAGUGUGGGGGAUCCCCCUCUCAGGGCCCCUACCUAUCGUAGUCUAGGUGAGCCGUUACCUCACCUACAAACUAAUAGGACGCAUGCUCAUCUUUUACCGUUAAAACUUUAAUCUUAAAAUCAUGAAAUUAAAAGAUAUUAUAGAGGAUUAAUCCAAAUUUCUCUGGGCUAUACUCUAGUAAAAGGUAGAUUGCAUACGCGUUACGCACCCGUGCGCCACUCGUCAUCUGGUGCAAGCACCAAUGUUACCGUUCGACUUGCAUGUAUUAGGCCUGCCGCUAGCGUUCAUCCUGAGCCAUGAUCAAACUCU